rnacentral:rRNA from 1 species
AUUGAACGCUGGCGGCAUGCUUUACACAUGCAAGUCGAACGGUAACAGGGUGCUUGCACCGCUGACGAGUGGCGAACGGGUGAGUAAUGCGUCGGAACGUGCCGAGUAGUGGGGGAUAACGCAGCGAAAGUUGUGCUAAUACCGCAUACGUACUGAGGUAGAAAGUGGGGGACCUUCGGGCCUCACGCUAUUCGAGCGGCCGACGUCUGAUUAGCUAGUAGGUGAGGUAAAGGCUCACCUAGGCGACGAUCAGUAGCGGGUCUGAGAGGAUGAUCCGCCACACUGGGACUGAGACACGGCCAAGACUCCUACGGGAGGCAGCAGUGGGGAAUUUUGGACAAUGGGCGAAAGCCUGAUUCAGCCAUGCCGCGUGUCUGAAGAAGGCCUUCGGGUUGUAAAGGACUUUCGUCAGGGAGGAAAUCCCUAGUGCUAAUAACACUGGGGGAUGACAGUACCUGAAGAAUAAGCACCGGCUAACUACGUGCCAGCCGCCGCAGUAAUAC